UACGUAGGGGGCAAGCGUUGUCCGGAUUUAUUGGGCGUAAAGCGCUCGCAGGUGGUUCGAUGCGUCGUGCGUGAAAGACCCCGGCCCAACUGGGGAGGGUCGUGCGAUACGGUCGAACUGGAGGCCAGUAGGGGGAUGCGGAAUUCCGGGUGUAGUGGUGGAAUGCGUAGAGAUCCGGAGGAACACCAGCGGCGAAGGCGGCAUCCUGGACUGGUCCUGACACUCAUGAGCGAAAGCGUGGGGAGCGAUCCGG
rnacentral:rRNA from 1 species